rnacentral:rRNA from 1 species
AGAGUUUGAUCAUGGCUCAGGACGAACGCUGGCGGCGUGCCUAACACAUGCAAGUCGAGCGGUCCUGCAUUCAACAUUGAGUAUUCAGCAGGCGUUGGAGAUGUAACCAGCGUCAAGCAGAAACGACUAUAUAUUAUAAUUUUUUGAAGUUUCUGCUUCACGCCAAAUCAAGUGCCAACACAAAGGGAGCUGAGUAUUGAAUGUUGAAUGCAGGAUAGCGGCGGACGGGUGAGUAACGCGUGGGCAACCUGCCUCAUACAGGGGGAUAACACAGGGAAACUUGUGCUAAUACCGCAUAAUAUCAUUGGGUGGCAUCACCUGAUGAUCAAAGGAGAAAUCCGGUAUGAGAUGGGCCCGCGUCCGAUUAGCUAGUUGGUGAGGUAACGGCUCACCAAGGCGACGAUCGGUAGCCGAACUGAGAGGUUGAUCGGCCACAUUGGGACUGAGACACGGCCCAGACUCCUACGGGAGGCAGCAGUGGGGAAUAUUGCGCAAUGGGGGAAACCCUGACGCAGCAACGCCGCGUGAAGGAAGAAGGCCUUCGGGUUGUAAACUUCUUUGAUUGGGGACGAAGGAAGUGACGGUACCCAAAAAACAAGCCACGGCUAACUACGUGCCAGCAGCCGCGGUAAUACGUAGGUGGCGAGCGUUGUCCGGAAUUACUGGGUGUAAAGGGCGUGUAGGCGGGGAAGCAAGUCAGAUGUGAAAUUCCGGGGCUCAACCUCGGCGUUGCAUCUGAAACUGUUUUUCUUGAGUGCUGGAGAGGAAAGCGGAAUUCCUAGUGUAGCGAUGAAAUGCGUAGAU